rnacentral:rRNA from 1 species
ACGAACGCUGGCGGCAUGCCUAACACAUGCAAGUCGAACGGAUGGUCGCAAGACCAUUAGUGGCGGACGGGUGCGUAACGCGUGGGAACCUGCCUUGAAGUUCGGAAUAACUGCGGGAAACUGCAGCUAAUACCGGAUGUGGCCUGUGGGCCAAAGGGGAAACUCGCCUCAAGAGGGGCCCGCGUCCGAUUAGCUAGUUGGCGGGGUAACGGCCCACCAAGGCGAUGAUCGGUAGCUGGUCUGAGAGGACGACCAGCCACACUGGAACUGAGAUACGGUCCAGACUCCUACGGGAGGCAGCAGUGGGGAAUAUUGGACAAUGGGGGCAACCCUGAUCCAGCAAUGCCGCGUGAGUGAUGAAGGCCUUCGGGUUGUAAAGCUCUUUUGGCGGGGACGAUGAUGACGGUACCCGCAGAAUAAGCCCCGGCUAACUUCGUGCCAGCCGCCGCGGUAAU